rnacentral:rRNA from 2 species
UACGGAGGAUCCAAGCGUUAUCCGGAUUUAUUGGGUUUAAAGGGUGCGCAGGCGGAAGAUUAAGUCGGCGGUGAAAUUUUGCAGCUCAACUGUAAAAGUGCCAUCGAUACUGGUUUUCUUGAGUGUGGAUGAAGUAGGCGGAAUUUGUGGUGUAGCGGUGAAAUGCAUAGAUAUCACGAGGAACUCCGAUUGCGCAGGCAGCUUACUAGGCCAUAACUGACGCUCAGGCACGAAGGCGUGGGGAUCAAACAGG